rnacentral:tRNA from 1 species
GUCCUUGUAGUGCAAUGGAUAGCGCGUUGGACUUCUAAUCCAAAGGUCGGGGGUUCGAAUCCCACCUGGGAUG